AGCAUAAGAUCAAAGACUUAGAACGCCACAUCCUGUGGCAACGUCUUUGUGACCCACAUCGUGUGGG
rnacentral:sRNA from 1 species